UACGUAGGGUCCGAGCGUUGUCCGGAAUUAUUGGGCGUAAAGGGCUCGUAGGCGGUUUGUCGCGUCGGGAGUGAAAACUCAGGGCUCAACCCUGAGCGUGCUUCCGAUACGGGCAGACUAGAGGUAUGCAGGGGGAGAACGGAAUUCCUGGUGUAGCGGUGGAAUGCGCAGAUAUCAGGAGGAACACCGGUGGCGAAGGCGGU
rnacentral:rRNA from 1 species